UCUGAGAGGAUGACCCCCCACACUGGUACUGAGAACACGGACCAGACUCUUACGGGAGGCAGCAGUAAGGAAUAUUGGUCAAUGGGCGCAAGCCUGAACCAGCCAUGCCGCGUGCAGGAAGACGGCCCUACGGGUUGUAAACUGCUUUUGUACCGGAAUAAACCCUUUUACGUGUAAGAGGUUGAAUGUACGGUAAGAAUAAGGAUCGGCUAACUCCGUGCCAGCAGCCGCGGUAAUACGGAGGAUCCAAGCGUUAUCCGGAUUUAUUGGGUUUAAAGGGUGCGUAGGCGGCCUAUUAAGUCAGGGGUGAAAGACGGUAGCUUAACUAUCGCAGUGCCUUUGAUACUGAUGGGCUUGAAUGUACUUGAGGUAGGCGGAAUGUGACAAGUAGCGGUGAAAUGCAUAGAUAUGUCACAGAACACCAAUUGCGGAGGCAGCUUACUAAAGUAUGAUUGACGCUGAGGCACGAAAGCGUGGGGAUCAAACAGGAUUAGAUACCCUGGUAGUCCACGCCCUAAACGAUGAACACUCGAUGUUGGCGAUAUACGGUCAGCGUCUAAGCGAAAGCGUUAAGUGUUCCACCUGGGGAGUACGCCCGCAAGGGUGAAACUCAAAGGAAUUGACG
rnacentral:rRNA from 1 species